CGUGGGUAACCUGCCCAAGAGAUCGGGAUAACACCUGGAAACAGAUGCUAAUACCGGAUAACAACAGAUGAUGCCUAUCAACUGUUUAAAAGAUGGUUCUGCUAUCACUCUUGGAUGGACCUGCGGUGCAUUAGCUAGUUGGUAGGGUAACGGCCUACCAAGGCGAUGAUGCAUAGCCGAGUUGAGAGACUGAUCGGCCACAUUAGGACUGAGACACGGCCCAAACUCCUACGGGAGGCAGCAGUU
rnacentral:rRNA from 1 species